rnacentral:rRNA from 1 species
CCUGGCUCAGGAUGAACGCUAGCGGCAGGCUUAACACAUGCAAGUCGAGGGGCAGCGCGAGGUAGCAAUACUUGGCGGCGACCGGCGAAAGGGUGCGUAACGCGUGAGCAACUUGCCCGUAUCUGGGACAUAAGCGGUGGAAACGCCGUCUAAUUUCCCAUAACAACAGAGGCCGCAUGACAUCUGUUUGAAAGAUCCGUCGGAUACGGAUGGGCUCGCGAGACAUUAGCUAGUCGGCGUGGUAACGGCACACCGAGGCGACGAUGUCUAGGGGUUCUGAGAGGAAGGUCCCCCACACUGGAACUGAGACACGGUCCAGACUCCUACGGGAGGCAGCAGUGAGGAAUAUUGGUCAAUGGGCGCAAGCCUGAACCAGCCAUGCCGCGUGAAGGAAAUAAGGCCCUAUGGGUCGUAAACUUCUUUUGUGGUGGAGCAAUAAGGUGUACGCGUACACCGAUGAGAGUACAUCACGAAUAAGCAUCGGCUAACUCCGUGCCAGCCGCCGC